rnacentral:SRP_RNA from 1 species
GCCGGGCGUGGUCCGUAGUCCCAGCCACUCGGGAGGCUGACGUGGGAGGAUCGCUUGAGCCCAGGAGUUCUGGGCUGUAGUGCGCUAUGCCGAUCGGGUGUCCGCACUAAGUUUGGCAUAAAUACGGUGACCUCCCAGGAGCGGCGGACCACCAGGUUGCCUAAGAAGGGGUGAACUGGCCCAGGUCAGAAAUGGAGCAGGUCAAAACCCCAGGGCUGAUCAGUAGUGGGAAUGCACCUGUGAAUAGCCACUGCACUCCAGCCUGGGCAAUAUAGCAAGACCGCAUCUCU